rnacentral:misc_RNA from 1 species
GCCAUGGCUCGUGAAACCAUUGUAUGGUUUCAUCAGUGAUUCCUUCCCACUCUUUGGAUACCGGAGGAGAUCAUACUUGGUACUCUCAGGGCUUCUUGGAGCAUUCUCAUGGUUUUUGAUGGCUACCUUCGUUGAUAGCAAGUAUAGUGCUGCCUUCUCCAUACUUAUUGGUUCUCUUUCUGUCGCUUUCUCAGAUGUUGUUGUAGAUUCCAUGGUUGUUGAGAGGGCA